UACAGAGGUCUCAAGCGUUGUUCGGAUUCAUUGGGCGUAAAGGGUGCGUAGGUGGCGCCGUAAGUCGGGUGUGAAAUUUCGGAGCUUAACUCCGAAACUGCAUUCGAUACUGCGGUGCUUGAGGACUGGAGAGGAGACUGGAAUUCCCAGUGUAGCGGUGAAAUGCGUAGAUAUUGGGAGGAACACCAGUGGCGAAGGCGGCUACCUGGACCGGUUCUGACGCUGAGGCGCGAAAGCGUGGGGAGCGAACAGG
rnacentral:rRNA from 1 species